UUGUUAGCAGGUAUGUUUGUGUACCACAUGUAUGCAGGGCCCACGGAGACCAGAAGAAGACAUCAGAUCCCCCUGGUUCUGAAAUUACAAACAGUACUAGCUGUUCUGUGGGUGCUGGGAAUUGAACCCUGGACCUGUGGAAGAGCCGCCAAUGCUCUUAACCGCUGAGCCAUCUCUCCAGCCCCACCAGUAUUUCUUCCCAUCUGUGCUCCUGAUUUUUUUCCUUUGUCAUUAAUUAUUAAGCUGAAGGGUACUUCACUUGAUGUAAGCAGCUGUUACUGAUUGGGAGGUGACUUCUAUAUAUGGUUGUGGUACUGCGUUAGCCUGAAUGACAGUAGCGGCAGCACGAGCCACUGAGAAGCCUGGGGUAUGUAGCCGGGGCUGGAGUUCCUGCAGCACUCUGUCCAGAUGUCACACAGCAGCAGCUGUACGUGCCGCACAGCAGCAAAGUGAGGCGUUCACAGGGAACAGGCACCAGGAGAAGGGUUAGAGAGAGAUGACCCAGCAGCUGGACUGCAGAGAGGCGGCCCCAAUCUGCAGCUGGACUGCAGAGAGGCGGCCCCAAUCUGCAGCUGGGUUCCUAUCUCACUGUUAUCUCCCUGGAUCAAAGGGGCCGUCUGGGCUCAGAUGAGGCGAUGGGAAGAUAGAGAAAGAAAGGGGGGUGGAAUUCCGUCUCCCUAUGAAAGACGGGCCCAGAGCCCCUCAGUCUGGAGAACCCACCCCUCGGGACAGGUUUUCUGGUCUGCUUCAACAAACUGCCAUCGCUGUCAUCAUCAUUGUCGCCCCUACCCCAGUCUUUCUUUGUUCCUGGGUUCCAGUUCUUUGCCUCUGGCAAGAACCCGGACACCUGGGCAGCCAGCACCCAGGAUGAGAAUGCUUGCUUUCUACUUUUAAGAUAACAUGAUCUCCUUAGAUUUUAUCCAAUUCUGACUGCAUUGGAAUACAAUUUAAAUCUUUGUUAUUUCUGUUUCCAGACAAUGCAAAAAAAAAAAAAACAUAAGUUUUGAAAUGCUUAGACCUCUAUCCAUUUGCACUGACUGAAUUCAGUCAGAAGGCAGAAUGUGAUGAAUUUCAGUUGUUUCUCAUUUUCCUACAUGAGCAAAUGAAAGUCAGAGGGUAGCAAACCUUAAAGUUAGUGAAAACUCAGCACUCACGAUAAACAGGAUGGUUGAGUCACAAAUUCUGUCUUUCAUAAAAGAUGCUUCAACUUCGGUUGUUUUAGGCUUUUCCCUUUCUUCCCUGUUGAGGCUGAAGAUGUCAGGUGGGUAAAGGAGAGAUGGGAACACAGAUGGGGUAGGUCAUAAGCUCCAACAUUGACAGUCAACCACGUUCAAGCCAAGGAGGAACCCAGCAGCCGCCCAAGGCCUGCCAGGACUACCUUGUCCCAGCUGGGAGUGAGGGUGCUUGCUGAUGUGAUGGGUUAGGGUAUUGGUCUGGCCUUGAGGAAUGUGCUAGAUGGAGACCCUUGCCCCAUCCACUCCUGAGCCUGUGGGUAGAGCAGAAAUAGGUAAAAGAGCUUUAUAGCCCAGACAGAAUGGUGGGGUGAAAAUAAGACAGGAAUUGAAGGGUCCAGAUAUUACAUCCCAGUGCUACCUCCCCCCUUCCUGACACCCUACACAAACACACACAUACACACGCACACACACACACACAUACACACACACCUUGGGUCAUGCUUAGCUAUCCUAUGUUAGCAGCAUCACCAGCAGAGAAGAUGCAGAGGGCCCAGCCCCAGGCAGGUGAACUGCUGGGAGUCCUUGAGACACUCCAGGUGGGAGCCCUUAGACUCACGUUGUCAUCUGCAUUUAGCUGAGCUGGCCUAUGCCUGCCUGCUACGGGCAGAGUCUUAGCCAUACCUAGACUGAAAUCCUAACCCUGAAUAUCUCACAUGGCUGCACUUGCAGAGUGGGACUCUGAGGGAAUGACUAGCUAAACACGAGAUUCCAGAUGAGCUGCUGUCCUGGUAAGUAGAGAAAAUGGGAAUACGAGACAAGUGUGGGCUGCGCGUGGUGGUACACACCUGCAAUCCCAGCUGUGACAGGUGGAGGACUGUGUUCCGGGUCAGCCUGAGCUACAAAGCCAGACCAUUUCAAAAGAGAAGACCUGGAGGACUAACUGCAGAGACGGACCCUCCGAAGUGCAAAAGGGUGGUAGCAGGGAGGCCUCGUGACCUCACUUCGGGCUCUGGAAUCAUGAGAAGACCUCCAGGCCAGCCGGGAUGGAACACACCUUUAAUCCCAGCAGUCGGGAGACAGAGGCAGGCCUCUAUGUACUUAUCCAUCAUUUUCAAGGCUUACAGAGUCCAGAGAAGAUUGGGUGUGAUACUGUGAACAUUUUUAUGGCUCGAGAAACAUUUUCUCAAGUUGCCCUCCAGAAAGAUCUGCAUCUCCAUCAGCAGUGCACACGGCCUCAUUCCUGACUGUAGUCAAUGUGGAGAUAUAUUUGUUUGUUCCUUAACAGCAACUAGGCAGGAAUAAGUUCUUUUACAACCUGUGAUCACCAGUGGCACUUAAUAUUUUGCAAUGUGUUAACAGGAGACUUAUAUUCCUUCCUUAUGGCUUGUCGUCGGGGUGCCUUUGCCGGUUGGGUGACAGUUAUUGUGGGUGCAUGCUGCCUUGUUGAAUCGUGAGUACCUAGGAUCUGACAUCAGACAGACUCGUUCUCAUUGAUAAGUCCAUCAUUUUAUUGGUAUUGGGAGGAGUUUAGAUUUAGUUCUUUAUACAGAACUGUCUCUUCCGUGGAAAAAGGAGCACAUUUAACAUCUGUAGAUGACCUCACCAAUGUGUCCUGGCUAGUCACCAAACAGUUGAAACAUCACCAUGUGGGAGACCCAGGCUGCUUGCUGGGACACAGAUGAACCAGGCAGCUCCCAUCUCCCAGAAACCCACAGUGUAGUAGACAGCACCUUGCCAUCCAGUAUGGCAGCCCCAGGAAGCUCUUCUGAACCGAAGCUCUGGAAGUGUAAAAUGCACUUAUGAAAGCUUUGUACCAAAACACUCAAACUACUGGGGAAUCGGAAGCAGGACAUUUCCGAGUUCAAGGUCUAGGCUACAGAAAGAGUUCAAGGCCAACAUAGGUGGCAUAAUGACUUCAAAACAAAAACUGACAAGGAACCUGGUGAUACAUCGCCCUGUUAGCACAUGCCUCACAACUCCAAUGCAUGCGUUUUUCUUGAAGGCAAUUUGUGACAUAGUCAACGCAAUAAAACUUCAGUGUUAGAGUACAAGAAAGGAGGGUAUUGAAUUCACGGAAGACUCUAAAGUUGGUCUGGCCAACAGGAAGUUCCUGACUCUAAACUGCAAGCUGGUGAUAGUACUGAAUACUCCAUGGGGGAGGAGGGGCUUUGGAGUGGGGCACACCUGGAGGUGAAGCUCUCAGAGUGACCCCAACCUAAUUACGCAGACUUGGAGCAUUCAGAGGUGUGUCUGCAAAUGCAAGGAGGAAAAAGUGGAAUUAAUUUCAGGCCAUAUGACUAAAACCUCAAUCAAUAGGCUGCAAAUUACUUUGGCAUCGAGUCCCAAUCCUGAUAGUGAGCCCCGCCUGGGGGUAGUUUGGCUGCAUCGAAGCUAGGUUGGAUACAGUGGCAGGUAGUCAGGGGCUGGAUCAGGUGGUGUGAGAAUUGCAUGAUGAAAUGGCUUAAGCCCUCUGUGCUUGUUUUCAUUGUUCUGUUUUGUGGUUUUGCCAUAGUGAUCGAACCCAGACUUGUAUAAGAGCUAGGUGAGUCUCUACCGUUGAGCUAUGUCCAUUUUACUAUUUUUAGUUUGAAGGAAGGGCUCACUGAGUUGCCCGGCCUUUGACUCAUUCCACAGUGAGGGUUGGCCCCGCAGUUUGGUCCUCCCGUCUCGGCCUCCUGGGUGGAAGGAUUGGCAGGCCUGGCCUAGAUUCACCUACACACUGAUUAAGCACAAUACAUGCUUCUGCCCUGUACCUCUGCCUUGAACCUGACCUGACAGAAGCCAACGCCGACCGCCCACUUGAUGUUUUUACUUCAACACCAGAAAGUGCUUUCCAACCUAGAUGCUCCCAACUGAAUCCCACCCUCCCAUCCAGCCUUCUUGACCCACCCACCUCCCUAGCAUCGGUGUUCAUUCUUUGUUUUCCAUGGCCAGAGCCAGGCAGUUAUCAGUGACUCCUCCCCCAGAUGCCACACCCCCAAAUCCAGAGCCCCUGAGCUCCACCUUCGAAUACCACAGACAGCCUGACUCUCUUCCCAUCUCUACUGCCCCCACACUGAUCCAAGUCACCUUCCUCCCUCCCGAGGAUCACGGUGGUGGCUUCCUAAUUAGUCCUCACCCCCCACAGCACCGCAUCUGUCCACUACUCAGGUCCUGUCAGUGACUCCAGCCUCCCUCAGGGUCCAGCUGAGGUCCUCAGAUGGCCGAGCUCUGGCUCACCUACCCCAUGCUUCCUCUGCUCCCUCCCUCCCUCAGUUCUAGGAACACUCCCUCAGAUGUUGUCAUGGCUGCAGAUGUCUCCAUCUCAGUGAAUCCUCGUUUGUCUUUGUUUUCUGGCAUCACACGCCACACAUGAGCCUCGUUAUGCUUUCCCCGUUUUAUCUCUGUAAGAAGUUGAUUUGUCUUUAUUAUGGGUUCUUGACAGCCAGAUGCUAAGCUGCGCAGGGCACAGGUGCUUUCUGUGCAGAUCAGUGCGCUUUCCCAUCGUUGCCAGGAACCCUAUCUAGAGUGGCUGCUGGAUAAACACUAGCUGCUCCUGCAUGCAAAGACUUCAAAAGCACACCGAGUGCCCAGUGAGUAUGGUCACGGUCAGCAUUCUCUCUGCCCUCCAGCUUCUCUUUCCAGAGCAGUUUAUGAAGAGCUGUUCACCAAUGAGCAAGCGGGACUCUCCGAGUUUUAUUUUAGGAAAAGAAUUCUAACAUUUAGUUCCUAAGCCUAAACAUCUUAAACGGCUUCAACUGAAUGAGAGUUGGGAAAUACAGAACAGAAAAUGAAGAACUUGUCAAAAAUGUGGUUGGGAAAAAGUGGUCCACCCAUCCAUCAGUGAGCACACGGACAUGAAGAAGAGUGAGUUCUGGGACAGCCAGGACUGUUACACAGAGAAACCCUGUCUCAAGAAAAGAAAAGAAAAGAAAAGAAAAGAAAAGAAAAGAAAAGAAUAGCGCUUUUAUACCACAGUCCCAGGCUGCUCUGUGACCACAGCCCUCCUAACAUCACGGCACCUGGGUGGCAGGCGGAAACCCUGCACAGGCCCAUCCGCCAGCCCAUCUCUUCUGCACCCUGCAGCCUUGGCCAUCCUUGCCUGCACAACUCCUCUCCAGUCCUGACUGAAUUACUGGCCAGCAUCAGCUCUUAACUCCCUGAAAGGGUGAUCUACUUGUUCAUAGAUCAUAGACAAGCAGGCCCCAGCCUGCCAGCAGACGUGCCCAGUGUCCUCAACUACAUUGUCUCCAGGGUAUCAGCUUGAGGAGACGGACUCUCCUCAAGUUCCUUCUAUCCAGUGUUCUUUCAUCAGCCGUAGGGUACCCCUGAGCUCUACUUAUUCCUCUUAGUCACUCUCUUAGAAUAGUUAAUAAUCUGUACGUUCAACUCUCCCUGGUCAAAUUACGCUUGGCCUCUGGUCUAGUACCCAAGUCUGACAGACAGAGAACAGGACCUCUGAUAACCUCUGGGCCAGAACCUUGGAAUAGGUUGCUCAUUCUCCUCAAACCCCAUCCCCAUACACAUAUACCCAUCAAACACACCCCCAAACACACACACACACACACACACACACACUCAUCAAUCACACACAUUAAUCAUGCUCAUUCCAAUCUCACACACACACACCAAUCACACACACACCAAUAGCACACACUGUUCAUACAUCCAUACCUAGUAUCAAAUCUCAUACUUCAGUAGGGCAGUUGCACACUAUAAAAAUCUGCAGUUUUUUAAGGGGAACCGAUAGUGAAAUUAUUUCAAGGGAUGAGGAACUUCUUUGAAACUGAACAGCUAUCCACAGAGCUUUUGUUCUUUAGAAAAUACUUUUGUUUUCUCUCCCCCCUCCCCUCACUGCCUCAACUCCUCCCUCCUUCCUAUCUAGAAAUCGGACAAACAAUAAAGGCAAGGGAAAAGGAA